UACGUAGGGUGCAAGCGUUAAUCGGAAUUACUGGGCGUAAAGCGUGCGCAGGCGGUUAUGCAAGACAGAUGUGAAAUCCCCGGGCUCAACCUGGGAACUGCAUUUGUGACUGCAUGGCUAGAGUGCGGCAGAGGGGGAUGGAAUUCCGCGUGUAGCAGUGAAAUGCGUAGAUAUGCGGAGGAACACCGAUGGCGAAUGCAGCUCGCUGGGACGGUACUGACGCUGAGGCGCGAAAGCGUGGGGAGCAAACAGG
rnacentral:rRNA from 1 species